GAAAUCUUGGCCGGCCAACCAUUUACUAAAUGAAAAACUAUUUCUUUUUUGAUGCUAAAAUAAAGUAACAUAUUUAUUUUCAUUUGUAAAUUUCCGUUGCACUUCCUCUAUACGAACUUGGAGAAUUAUAAGUUCUAACUUUCUUUAGUUCUUUGUAGGGGCUGUAUGUGAUUGUCUUUACAAGUCACCUUUGAAAUUAUAACAACAAUUGGUUUAUGAAUUUGGCAGAUACAUUAACAGUUGUGCAUUAAGUGGAGAUUUCAAGGGAACUCUUUUGAAGGUCCAAUACCAUCCAGUUUAGGAAAUCUAACAGUACAUUAGAGUUCAGCUUGUAUAAUUUGUUUGGAUUCUUUCUGUCUUGAAGCAGAUAUUAGUGAAUCUAAGCAGCUUUUGGAUAAGCUUGUUGUGGUGAAGUAUAAUGGAGCUUUGGGAAAGAAUAUGGGUUUCGGUGGUCCCGAAUGGGGGUUGGAGAAUACGAUCAAAGGGAAAACAUCAGAUAUAGUGAUUCCCAGCCAAGCAGUGGCUUCUUAGACACCCAACAUUUUGCACAACCAAACAUGACCACAACUUUUAAACCUACAUGUUGAGGUUGCUACACACAAGAUUCACACUCAAGGAGCAAGAAACAUCUCAGCAACUCAUUGGGAUUGAGCAGUCAAAAUUCAGAAUCAAGUGACACACAAGAGCUAGAUUUGGAGCUUGGACUGUCACUGUAAUCAGUAAUUUUUUUUUUGCUACUUUAAAUGCAUGCUCAUGGAACUACAUUUUAUGCUUUCCUAGAAUUGUAAGUUCAAAUAAGGUGUUGAUCUGCAAUUUAUAGAUUCAACUUGAGCAAGUUGAUAUGAACUAGUUUCAAUUUUUUUUAGGAAUGUUAUGUAAUCAAAGGCAAUUUGACUUGCUGCAUGAGAUAUAGUGAAAAACAUUUAUCUUCUUGUUCA